UGGAACGAAGUGUAAUGUGACCUAGAGUUUUAAAGUCCGCAAUGUGUUAAUGAUAACCUGACCUUUUGCUUAGAUUGAUGCGAACUCAUUCGGCAUCGUCAUGUGGAAGCUGCUGACAGGAGAAAAACCGUAUGCAGAUUUGGAUGUUAACCACAUGAUAGGGGGCAUCUUGAACAACACACUGCGGCCGCAAGUACCAGCAUCUUGUAAUCCAGAAUGGAAAUCGCUGAUGGAGAGGUGCUGGUCAUCCGAGCCAUCAGAAAGACCAAGCUUCGCCGAAAUUGCAAGGGAGUUAUGUUCUAUUGCUUUGAAGAGCUCUUCAAAGAUCUAUAAUCGCAGAUAGGAGUUGUACAUGAUCCCUCAAGCACAAAUAUGCCAGACAAGUUGCCGAUUGCAGUUGAAUCCUGAAGAUUGGUGCUCUGUGUGUAAAGUAGAUUUUGAUAUUAUCGGUUGUACCACUGUUUUUUUCAGGUUUUCCAUUUCAUAGACGUGCUUGGCAAGGCUUGCAAAGCUCCAAGAUAGCCAUCAUCUUCCUGCUUGGCAGCUAUAGCUUUUUCCCUCUGGUGAUUAGUUCGGUAGGUUGCUUAAAUUUAUCGCCAGAUACAGAUUUCAUCGGUACUCUUUAGGAGCUCGUGUUGUACCGACACGAAGUGUCUUUGUUUUCUGUAUCUCAAUUCAAUGACGAUUAUAACAUGUGCACCUAUGGAUAUAAUUUG